rnacentral:rRNA from 1 species
UACGUAGGGUGCGAGCGUUGUCCGGAAUUAUUGGGCGUAAAGAGCUCAUAGGCGGUUUGUCGCGUCGGCCGUGAAAUCUCCACGCUUAACGUGGAGCGUGCGGUCGAUACGGGCAGACUUGAGUUCGGUAGGGGAGACUGGAAUUCCUGGUGUAGCGGUGAAAUGCGCAGAUAUCAGGAGGAACACCGGUGGCGAAGGCGGGUCUCUGGGCCGAUACUGACGCUGAGGAGCGAAAGCGUGGGGAGCGAACAGG